rnacentral:snRNA from 1 species
AUGCUCACUUCAGCAGCACACAUACUAAAAUUGGAAUGAUGCAGAGAACAUUACCAUGGCUUCUGGGCAAGGAUGACAUGCAAGUUUGUGAAACAUUCCAUAUUUGU